rnacentral:rRNA from 1 species
UACGUAGGGGGCUAGCGUUGUCCGGAAUCAUUGGGCGUAAAGAGCGUGUAGGCGGCUCGGUAAGUCCGCUGUGAAAGUCCAGGGCUCAACCCUGGAAUGCCAGUGGAAACUGUCGAGCUAGAGUCCGGAAGAGGCGAGUGGAAUUCCUGGUGUAGCGGUGAAAUGCGCAGAUAUCAGGAGGAACACCAAUGGCGAAGGCAGCUCGCUGGGACGGUACUGACGCUGAGACGCGAAAAGCGUGGGGGAGCAAACAGG